AACAACAAAAAACAACAAAAAAAAACUAAAGGAUUGGGCCAAGAUCCAUUGGGAGGCGCAGGCCCAUCAUAUGAGGGGUGCAGGGAGUGAUUCGUUUGGGCCUUAGGCCCAAACCUUCCACAGCGUCCAUGGUCCAAACUCAGCUCAGCUCAACAAAAAAACGAAUUCAGCCCUAACGUUCAUGAAUCGGACCACUCACCGCCGUUGACCGAAACAACACACACCAUGGAAAUGCAUCUUACCAUUAGUGCAGCUUCAACGAAUUCGUGCUUUAUAUGGAGACGGAAAUGAAGAUGGAUUCCUACGCGUUCGCCUCUGUGGAUUGAGAUGAAGAGAACAAAGUUGUUGUUGAUGUGCAAGGAAGAACCCAUUUGAAAUGUUGUUGCGUUGAAGGAUGAUGAAUCCGUUUGAACCGAUCUUUGUGUGGCGAUGAAGGUUGAAGGAGGAAUUGCGCAACAAAUCGGAGAUGGAGCCUUCCCCAAGAUCGGGGUCGAAGGAAUCGCGGUGGUUCGAUGAAGAUCGCGGGGAGCGGUUUGCUGUGUGGAGAUUCCUUCUGCUGAGAUGUUUUCAAUAGGAAUGAAACAAUGGUGGUUCAACUGUGGAUUCUUUUGUGAUUCACAGGGGGAGGAAGAUGGUGAUGUCAGUGGUUCUCGGAAGGAAAGGAAGGGCUUGUUAGCAGAAAAAGAAGAGAGGGAAAAAGAGAGAGCUUCAUGGCUAGCUCGAUGGAUUUAUAUAGUUUCAUUCAAUUACCUCCGUUAUUCUCCGUCAAAUUCGAUAUAUGCAAAGUUGUUAUCCGUUUGUUAACUCUGAAUAUUGUUAGUUAGAUUGGAUGAGAAAUUCUGUUAUGAUUUUUUUUCAGGUUUGUGUUGCCGUUUACAUUGCCGUUGCGUUUAGCUCACGUUGCCGUUUUGGUUAGUUGCUGCGCUUUGGAGUUUUUCUGCUAUGCUGUUGUUGCCUUUCACGUUUGGGUGUUUUUCGUUUGCCUUGUUCACAUCUUGGCUUGCAGCUGGUGCGCGUUGCCGUUUACACUUUUCAUGUUGCCGUCUUGGCUUGUGUGCCUUGGCUGAGUUUCAAUUUCAUGCAUAGCUUUGCAACUUUUGAUUGUACUGCAGCUAGUGUGGUAACUUGUACUGUGUUUGGCUUCAUGGGCCAGUAUAUCAUUCAUCAAUUUUAUGGAUAUGGCUUGAAAUUAAAAAUUAAAAAUGGAUAUGGACUUGGAAAUUAGGUA